UAACGAAUAUUGGGCAAUGGGCGCAAGCCUGACCCAGCGACGCCGCGUGCAGGAGGAAGCCCUUCGGGGUGUAAACUGCUUUUAGGGGUAGACAAGCAAUGCGGUUAACUGCCGCAAAGUUGAGUUGCCCCAGAAUAAGCCUCGGCUAACUCUGUGCCAGCAGCCGCGGUAAGACAGAGGAGGCAAGCGUUGUUCGGAAUUACUGGGCUUAAAGCGCGCGUAGGCGGCUUCGCAAGUGUCUUGUGAAAUCCCUCGGCUCAACCGAGGAACUGCUGGGCAAACUGCGAGGCUUGAGGUCGGUAGAGGUGCCUGGAACUCUAGGUGGAGCGGUGAAAUGCGUAGAUAUCUAGAGGAACGCCUGAGGCGAAAGCGGGGCACUGGGCCGAUUCUGACGCUGUGGCGCGAAAGCGUGGGGAGCAAACAGGAUUAGAUACCCCAGUAGUCCCUGAGCGGGCUGGCAAGGCGCAU
rnacentral:rRNA from 1 species